GGGUUGUAGCUCAACUGGUUAGGGCACCACACUGUCACUGUGGAGGUUGCGAGUUCGAGUCUCGUCAACCC
rnacentral:tRNA from 1 species